GACGAACGCUGGCGGCGUGCCUAAUACAUGCAAGUCGAACGCAGUGGUGACUGGUGCGUAACACGUGGGUAACCUCCCAUCAGAGGGGAUAACACUUGGAAACCGGUGCUAAACCGAUACCGAUGGAGGGACCCGCGGUGAAUUAGCUCGUUGGUGAGGUAACGGCUCACCACGGCCACGAUGCAUAGCCACGCCGAGAGAGUGAACGGCCGCACGGGGCCUGAGACCCGACCGAGCCUCCUACGGGAGGAAGCAGUAGGGAAUCGUCGGUAAUUCACGAAAGUCUGACCGAGCCCUGCCGCGUGAGUGAAGAAGGUUUAGGGCUCGUAAAAUUCUGUUGUUAGCGAAGCGGUAUCUAACCAGAAAGCCACGGCUAACUACGUGCCAGCAGCCGCGGUAAUUC
rnacentral:rRNA from 1 species